UACGUAGGGUGCGAGCGUUAAUCGGAAUUACUGGGCGUAAAGCGUGCGCAGGCGGUUUUGUAAGCCAGAUGUGAAAUCCCCGGGCUCAACCUGGGAAUGGCAUUUGGGACUGCAAGGCUGGAGUGCGGCAGAGGAGACUGGAAUUCCUGGUGUAGCAGUGAAAUGCGUAGAUAUCAGGAGGAAUACCGAUGGCGAAGGCAGGUCUCUGGGCCACUACUGACGCUGAGAAGCGAAAGCAUGGGGAGCAAACAGG
rnacentral:rRNA from 1 species